rnacentral:misc_RNA from 1 species
ACUGCUUACGAGAGUCUUCCUGAGUAAGCUGCCUUCUUUUUUCCCUCACUUACUUUCACUUUAAACAUUAAUAUAUGAUUCUUCAAACAUGGAUAGAUUCUAUGAAUUUCUGCAUAAAUUUAUUUUAUUCUGUGAACCUCAAGCUUUUUUUCUUUUUCUUUAUUUCUAUCUCUGUCUGUGAUUUUUAAACUUGCUACUGCUUUACUUGGUUUAUUAUUUAUUUCCAAGGAACUAUAUUUGAGGUGCUGGAUUACUAGAGUAAGAAUUUGUUGUUUUUUUAAGUGUAUUGGUUUUCUACAUUUGAAUGUUCAUGUGUGUUUGGUGUGGUAUCUUUAUGUACUAAAUGCAAAAUUGAUUAAUAUUAAACUAACUUUGAAGUGAAAUUAGGUAUUGUUGAAACAGGUUUGGGCGGAAAAAUCUUUGUAUUUUCAAUGUAUAUUGUCUUUGUAGAUAGUCCUAGAUACAAUAGGUGAUACCGUAUCCGCAAGUAUACGGAUUCGUAUAAGUAAUAAAGUAUCGUUUCUACAGGAAUUGUCUUUAAUUACUAAAAUUUAUAUUAAUUUUAUUAAUAUUUAGCCUAUCAAAUUGGAUUAAAUUUAAA